rnacentral:sRNA from 1 species
GCUGGGCACAGUGGAGCACGCCUGUAAUCCCAGCAGCUCAGGAGGUAGAGGUAGGAGGAUCACAAGUUCAAAGCCAGCCUCAGCAACAGCGAGGCACUAAGCAACUCAGUGAGACCCUGUCUCUA